rnacentral:rRNA from 1 species
UACGUAGGUGGCAAGCGUUGUCCGGAUUUACUGGGCGUAAAGAGCGCGCAGGCGGUUGUGCAAGUCGCGUGUGAAAGCCCCCGGCUCAACUGGGGAGGGUCACGCGAUACUGUUCGACUUGAAGGCAGGAGAGGGAAGUGGAAUUCCCGGUGUAGUGGCGAAAUGCGUAGAUAUCGGGAGGAACACCAGUGGCGAAGGCGACUUCCUGGCCUGUUCUUGACGCUGAGGCGCGAAAGCUAGGGUAGCAAACGGG